rnacentral:lncRNA from 1 species
UCCUCUCAACAAAACUUACAGCACCCUUGCAUUUACACAAUCUUAUUUUUGCUUUCUCUCUUCCUCAGCAAUGCGCUCUUACUUCUAACAGUGUUACACCUGCAUAUCAAUGCUGCGCAAAGCGCUCGCAUUCACACACUCAUACGUUCCUAUGUGCGUGACAUAGGCUGCGUGCUCAGCAGGCGAAAUAGCUGUGUGCUCAGUAGGGGUAUUAGCUGCGUGCACAUUACUGAGUAAUGGAAAUGAGUGAUGCUUUGAUUAUCUGCAUUGUUGUUGCCAAAUUCUUUAAGGUUCGGAGUUGACCUUCAAACUAUUAUGCAUGUAAUAAUUGAUAUUCAAGAGUUGUGAAAGAUUUUAAAAGAGUUUGGAAUUUGCUAGAAUCGUGGAAAGCGAAAUUAUUCCAAUUGAGGAAUGCAAUGUAACAGUAAAAAUAUAAGUUACAAGUGGAAAUGAAAGCGAGUGCACGUAAUUCUUGGCGGUUGACGCGAAUUUUUGUUAAAAUUGGUGAAAAGUGUUUGUUUAAAGUGUUAAAUUGAGUUUUUUAUUUAAUUUAAAGUUAAAAUCGUUAACAAAUGCAAAAAGUAGUGUCGUGAAAGUCGUAAUGCGUUAAAUUGCUCGAAAUUAUGAGUGUAAGAAUAUAUUGUGCAAAAUCUUUAAGUGCGUGUUCGGGUUCGUUUGUGGGCGUAUGUAUGAAUGCAACAAGCUUCAUGCGUUUCGCGGUGAAAUAUCAAUUUUAUAUUACUGUAGAACAACAAGUGAAUAAGCAAAUUGUGAAAAUAUUUACAUAUAUUAAUGGGAACAUAAAAAGUGGAAUUUUUGUGUAUCAUACAGCGAAUGGAAACACAAAGGCGAAGAUGUAGCAAGCAGCCGCCCAACACAAAAAUGCUUAUAACUUCUAACCUUUUAAGGAGCUUUAUGGUCUGGGACAGCUUUGGGGAAUUGUGUCUCCAGCUGCACCCAAUCGGGUCCUCCCAUCUUCCUUUUCAUUUCCUUCUAUUCCUAUAUGAGCGGGUACGCGGAUGAUGUUAACCGAGUUACCUACUAAAAGUCUAGUUAUUGCCAGCUUACAUAAGCUGAGGAAAUGAUACUUAAUAUUUGCGCUACGGAUAACCUAACUUACCGCUUGCUAUACAUUAGAAUGAAAUUGGGCUUACUCUUUAGAGCAGAAGCCCGCUUGGCUGUUUAUUAGAAGUAUAGAGCAGAAGCCCCCUUGAAAUCUGCGGAACCAAGCAAUUUUGGUUUUUGAGGUUCGGCUCAUGGGCACAAUGCACCUAAUGUUAGUCUAUGCGUUUUCAACCAACUAACCAACCAACUCAUAAAUAUAACUGGAUCUACAUUGUACGGCAUAUGUAUAUUUAAUCUAUCGCUACAAGAUAAUCCUCUAAACCAGAAAUUUAUUGCACAUUUAAGCCAAGCAUGCAGCGCAUUGAACAGUAUUUAUAGAUACUAAAAACCGCUUUUUCGCCACACAAUGGCAUUUGUAUGUAUGUAACGCUGUGCAUAUUUUAGUCAAUUAAUCAUUAUGAAACAACACAACUUUCCAAGCGAUAAAUCACGAUUGCGCGCAACGCUGCCACAAAUGUAAGCGCAGAUUUUUGCAUGCUACAUACAAGUGAAUAUAUAUGGAGUAUAUGCAUAUAACGUAGUCACGAUAUGUGUGCUGUAUUGAAAAUAUUUUAUAUAUAAAAUAAAUGUCAUGACAAUAACUAGGGGACCGAAAUGGCAAAGCUACAUGCUUUAAUUGCUGCCACUAGUUAUGGCAUACAAUUGAGGUUAGGUGGGGUAAAAUAGUUUUUUGUAACUGAGGGAGGGUUCAAAUCGUUGUAAGAUGUAUAAGAUGUUGAAAACGUAUAUAAAAUAG